rnacentral:rRNA from 1 species
UACGUAGGGUGCAAGCGUUAAUCGGAAUUACUGGGCGUAAAGGGUAGGUAGGUGGUCUCAUUUGUCUGGGGUGAAAGCCUUGAGCUUAACUCAAGAAGUGCCCCAGAAACGGUGAGACUCGAGUACUGGAGAGGCUAGUGGAAUUCCCGGUGUAGCGGUGAAAUGCGUAGAGAUCGGGAGGAACACCAGAGGCGAAGGCGGCUAGCUGGACAGUAACUGACACUCAACUACGAAAGCGUGGGGAGCAAACAGG